rnacentral:rRNA from 1 species
UACGUAGGGUGCAAGCGUUAAUCGGAAUUACUGGGCGUAAAGCGUGCGCAGGCGGUUUUGUAAGUCUGUCGUGAAAUCCCCGGGCUUAACCUGGGAAUUGCGAUGGAGACUGCAAUGCUAGAAUCUGGCAGAGGGGGGUAGAAUUCCACGUGUAGCAGUGAAAUGCGUAGAGAUGUGGAGGAACACCGAUGGCGAAGGCAGCCCCCUGGGUCAAGAUUGACGCUCAUGCACGAAAGCGUGGGGAUCAAACAGG